rnacentral:tRNA from 1 species
GCGCUCGUAGCUCAGUCGGAUAGAGCGUCUGACUACGAAUCAGAAGGUCGCAGGUUCGAGUCCUGCCGAGCGCG